GACGAACGCUGGCGGCGUGCUUAACACAUGCAAGUCGAACGGAAAGGCCCCUUUGGGGGUACUCGAGUGGCGAACGGGUGAGUAACACGUGAGUAACCUGCCCUUGACUUCGGGAUAACUUCAGUAAACUGGGGCUAAUACCGGAUAGGAAUCCUUGCUGCAUGGAGGGGGAUGGAAAGCUUCGGCGGUUUUUGCUGGACGCGCGGCUUAUCAGCUUGUUGGUGGGGUAGUGGCUGACCAAGGGUUUGAGGGGUAGCCGGCCUGAGAGGGCGACCGGCCACAUUGGGACUGAGAGACGGCCCACACUCCUCCGGGGGGCAGAGGUGGGGAAUAUUGCACAAUGGGCGGCAGCCUGAUGCAGCAACGCCGCGUGCGGGAUGACGGCCUUCGGGUUGUAAACCGCUUUCAGCAGGGGCGAAGCUUGUGGUGACGGUACCUGCAGAAGAAGCACCGGCUAACUACGUG
rnacentral:rRNA from 1 species